AGUUAACGCUAGCGGCGUGCAUCAGGCAUGCAAGUUGAACGAGAAAGUUUUCUUCGGAGAACGAGUAAAGUGGCGCACGGGUGAGUAACACUUAGGUAACCUGCCCUUUCGCUGGGGACAACUGAGGGAAACCUCAGCUAAUACCGAAUAUCCCAUUUUUAUCUGCGGAUUUUUAUGGAAAAGCUUCGGCGCGAAAGGAGGGGCCUGAGUCCCAUUAGCUUGUUGGUAGGGUAAAAGCCUACCAAGGCGACGAUGGGUAGCUGGUCUAAGAGGAUGUCCAGCCACACUGGAACUGAAACACGGUCCAGACUCCUACGGGAGGCAGCAGCUAGGAAUAUUGCGCAAUGGGGGAAACCCUGACGCAGCAACGCCGCGUGAGUGAUGAAGGCCUUAGGGUUGUAAAGCUCUUUUAGUAGGGAAGAAACAAAUGACGGUACCUACAGAAAAAGCACCGGCAAACUUCG
rnacentral:rRNA from 1 species